AUACGGAGGAUGCGAGCGUUAUCCGGAUUUAUUGGGUUUAAAGGGUGCGUAGGCUGUGCGUUAAGUCAGGGGUGAAAUGCCGUCGCUCAACGACGGAGCUGCCCUUGAUACUGGCGUGCUGGAGUACGGAUGCCGUUGGAGGAAUGAGUGGUGUAGCGGUGAAAUGCGUAGAUAUUAGGAGGAACACCAGUGGCGAAGGCGACUUUCUGGACUGUACCUGACGCUGAGGCGCGAAAGCGUGGGGAGCAAACAGGAUUAGAUCCCCUGGUAGUCCACGCCGUAAACGAUGAAUACUAGGUGUAGGGGGUAUCGACCCCUUCUGUGCCGUAGUUAACACAAUAAGUAUUCCGCCUGGGGAGUACGGCCGCAAGGUUGAAACUCAAAUGAAUUGACGGGG
rnacentral:rRNA from 1 species